AACGUAGGAGACAAACGUUAUCCGGAGUUACUGGGCGUAAAGGGCGUGCAGGUGGUCUGUUAAGUCUGGCGUGAAAGCUCCUGGCUAAACCGGGAGAGGUCGUUGGAUACUGGCGGACUAGAGGACGGUAGAGGCGUGUGGAAUUCCGGGUGUAGUGGUGAAAUGCGUAGAGAUCCGGAGGAACACCGGUGGCGAAGGCGGCCUGCUGGGCUGUUGCUGACGCUGAGGCGCGACAGCGUGGGGAGCAAACAGG
rnacentral:rRNA from 1 species